UAUAGUAUAGGUCAGUUGGUAGAGUGCUUGCCUAGCAUGCAUGAGGCCCUGGGUUUGACUCCCAGCACCACAA
rnacentral:tRNA from 1 species